rnacentral:misc_RNA from 1 species
GAAAUGCGAUAAGUAAUGUGAAUUGCAGAAUUCAGUGAAUCAUCGAAUCUUUGAACGCACCUUGCGCUCCUUGGUAUUCCUUGGAGCAUGCCUGUUUGAGCGUCAUCUACACCCUCAAGCUCUGCUUGGUGUUGGGCGUCUGUCCCGCCUCCGCGCGCGGACUCGCCCCAAAUGCAUUGGCAGCGGUUCCUUGCCCCCCUCUUUGCGCAGCACAUUGCCAUUCGAGGCGGCGGCGACCCGCGUCCAACAAGCUCAACCCCCCCGUCUUUGACCUCGGAUCAGGUAGGGAUACCCGCUGAACUUAAGC